rnacentral:rRNA from 1 species
CCUACGGGGGGCUGCAGUGGGGAAUAUUGGACAAUGGGGGGAACCCUGAUCCAGCCAUGCCGCGUGUGUGAAGAAGGCCCUCGGGUUGUAAAGCACUUUCAGUGAGGAAGAACGCCUGGUGGUUAAUACCCAUCAAGAAAGACAUCACUCACAGAAGAAGCACCGGCUAACUCCGUGCCAGCAGCCGCGGUAAUACGGAGGGUGCGAGCGUUAAUCGGAAUUACUGGGCGUAAAGCGCGCGUAGGUGGCUUGAUAAGCCGGUUGUGAAAGCCCCGGGCUCAACCUGGGAACGGCAUCCGGAACUGUCAAGCUAGAGUGCAGGAGAGGAAGGUAGAAUUCCCGGUGUAGCGGUGAAAUGCGUAGAGAUCGGGAGGAAUACCAGUGGCGAAGGCGGCCUUCUGGACUGACACUGACACUGAGGUGCGAAAGCGUGGGUAGCGAACAGGAUUAGAUACCCGAGUAGUC